GUUUAAGUCACUGGGAUUUAAGCAUGUGCUUAUUUUCUGAAGUUGGAUUUUGCUAAAUUUCAUUCUUUCCAGCUCAGCUGCAGGACUGCUGUCUAUUCUUCAGAGAAAAGAUGCAGCCAGAAAGUCAGCAUUUCCACUGAGAAGAAGAUAUAUAAAUAUAAUUUUCCUGUGGAAAACAACAAUUUUAUGGGAACUGCAUUUGCUGUUGGGAAGGCAUUGUAGUGAGUUAUCCUUGAUCAGCUUUAAACACUGUAACUUUAUGGGGUAUUGUAUACUCUAUAUAAACAAUACAGUGCUGGGUCCUUUGCUCUGAUUUUAACCUGUGGUGUCCUCCUUUCCCUUUCUCUGCUUCCUUUAGUCUGCAUUGGCUUUAAAAUGCUGACUAGACAAACAGAUCAUCUAACCUCACCCAUCCAGUCAUUUUUCAGCUAAUUAACUUGUGCUCCCAACCCCCAAGCAAUUUUCAUGUAAACAUGUUUCAGGAAAUAUGUUUCAUUGUGGAUAAUUCCCUUGCCACCCUCAAGUUCAGGCAGGUGUUUUAU
rnacentral:lncRNA from 1 species